UUUUGUUUCACCGCAAGGGAAACUAAAUUCAUACUAAAAUUGAAACUAAUCUGCACAUAAAAUGUAAGAACAUAGUUUCCGAAAUAAAUGUGCUAAUAGUAGUGUUCUCCGUACGUUGAACUUUGGCCUCCUCUGGACAGGUCGGUUAAAUCACGUGAUGGGAAACGUCAGCUUCGUUAAUCUUGUGUUUGCAGUUUCAAGGCUUUUCCUCGAAACGUUAAUUGACUUGCUUUCGGCUGCCAUAGAAUCACCAUAGCGUGGAACAAGUCCACACCUCCUCUCCAAAGAGCAUCCCAUCCAGGGUGCCCUUUUCCCCUGUAAUUCCCAAUGUCUGGACAAUAUGGGCAAUUUUCGGACUGUGGGAGGAAAUAGGACGCUCCCAGUGGAAACCCACGCAGAUACUGCGAGUAUGUGUGAACUCUACAUAGACGGUCGCCUGAGGGUGGAAUCGAACAGGUUAUCCCUGGUGUUCUGAGGCAAUAGUGCUAACCACCGAGCCACCGUGCCCCCAAUUCUGUUUGAUUUCUCCAACGCUCACGGUUUUCGUUUCAGGUGUUUCAUCCACAGUUCUCUGCUCUUUUUUUUGUUUCCUUUCCUCCAACUUGUUUAUCUUAGUUACUAAUAUUUGCAUACGGAUUGUAAUGGAUUGUUUCUGCAGCUGUCUUUGCUGCGUUAAAGUCGUCCAGAAAAUUGUUACAUCCCGCAUCACAGGACAAUCAUUGGAAGUGGAUAGUGGAAAAGAAAAUCCUCAUCUAGCAAGAUUCCCCACAGUGUGGAAACAGGCCCUUUGAUCCAACAAGUCCACACUGCCCUUUGGAGCAUCCCACACACCCCUGAACACAUGCAAUUUAGCCUAGCUGAUCCACCUAGCCUGCACAUCUUUGGACUGUGGGAGGAAACUGGAGCACCUGGAGGAAACCUACACAGACAUGGGAAGAAUGUGCAAACUCCACACAGACUGGAGGCUGGAAUCAAACCUGAGAACCUGGUGCUGUGAGGCUGCAGUGCUAGCCACUGUGCCACCCAUAUUAUUGCACUUUUUUUUUCUACUCACCCACAAGAACAGAGAUAUCAGCAGCAAAGUCAGCUAAUGUUGUGGUAGGAGUCAAUUUAGUUAUGUGUUCAAGUUCUGUCUGAAAUAGACAAUCGCAUUACUUUGGUCUCGAGAUGCUUCUAGGUAAAACCUUGACUAAGGCAACAGAUUUCCUUUCCUAAAGGAUAUUAUUAACUUUUUUAUUGCAGAUUGAUUUAAUUAACUGACUUUAAAUUCCCUAGCUACUGUGAUGGGAUUUGAGCACAUAUCAUCAGAUCAUAAUCCCUAGAUUAGUAGUCUAUUAACACAACCAUUAUGCUAACAUUCACAAUUUUUAAUUUGUGAUGGAAUAAAUAAUGAGGCAAAUUUUCCCAAAGGCUGCCAAUUUCAAUUUUGACCAUGUCAAAAUGGUUUACUUUUAGGACAGGUAAAUUAAAAUUAAGUAGGAUACCCUUCUUAAAAUUGAUUCUACAAUCAGUGUUGUAAGAGCAUUGCCUAAAUUUGAGAUAGCUUGAUGCCAAGAACUUGUCCAAAAAAUGUCAAGACAUAAAAAUAAUAGACUGCAAAGGUUCUGAAAGUGUCUAGUUUAACAAAUGUUUACUCAUCAAUUGGUCUUGGAAAAACUUCCUCCCUAUUCCCAAAUUAACAAGGAUAAGUAAGUUGUGGUGCUUCUAUCGUUAGUUCUGAUGAAGAAUUACUAGCCUUGAAACCUUAACUUUGCUUUCUUCCCAUAGAUUCUGCCACACUUGCUGGGUUUCAUCAGCAAUUUCUGUUUUUUCCUUCGGUUUCAGAUCUUAAGCCUCUGCAAUUUUUUGCUUUAUUACAUACACUGAGCAUAUUAGCUUGUGAUGAACUGUUAUUUGCAGAGAUGGAGGAUAAAUAUUUUUUAAAACGUUGAACAGUUUAAAAGAAUUUCAAGUGUAUUUUUUGCUUUAUUACAUACACUGAGCAUAUUAGCUUGUGAUGAACUGUUAUUUGCAGAGAUGGAGGAUAAAUAUUUUUUAAAACGUUGAACAGUUUAAAAGAAUUUCAAGUGUAUGGUUAACUGUCUGCACUCUAAUGCCCAUGAAAGUGACUUCUCCACUUUAUCUUUGUUACUGUGGCUUUAGAAAGCAAUAAAUAGCCUAUCAGUAAUGCAAUGUACAAAGUCAUCUUUCUAGUGAUUGUUGAUCCAUUCUGCAGGAUGUUUCUCUCUUUUAGCUAGCGAGUAUCCUACUAUGAACAAGAGUACUAUUCUUUGAAAUUGAUGAAUUCUCAAUGCCUUGAGUUCUGCCGCUGUACUCACAUCCGUGCAUCUGACAGGAAAAUGUAAA